GCCCCUGUAGCUCAGUGGAUAGAGCACCGGCCUUCUAAGCCGAUGGUCGCAGGUUCGAAUCCUGCCGGGGGCG
rnacentral:tRNA from 1 species